UGGGGAAUCUUGGACAAUGGGCGCAAGCCUGAUCCAGCCAUGCCGCGUGAGUGAAGAAGGCCUUCGGGUUGUAAAGCUCUUUUUACCAGGGACGAUAAUGACGGUACCCGCAGAAUAAGCUCCGGCUAACUUCGUGCCAGCAGCCGCGGUAAUACGAAGGGAGCUAGCGUUGUUCGGAAUCACUGGGCGUAAAGCGCACGUAGGCGGAUGUGUCAGUCAGGGGUGAAAUCCCGGAGCUCAACUUCGGAACUGCCCCUUGAUACAGCACGUCUUGAGUCCGAUAGAGGUGGGUGGAAUUCCUAGUGUAGAGGUGAAAUUCGUAGAUAUUAGGAAGAACACCGGUGGCGAAGGCGGCCCACUGGAUCGGUACUGACGCUGAGGUGCGAAAGCGUGGGGAGCAAACAGGAUUAGAUACCCCAGUAGUCCCUGAGCGGGCUGGCAAGGCGCAU
rnacentral:rRNA from 1 species